CCACACUGCUCCUCCGCGCCGCCACCGCCAUCGCCGUGUGUCCGGGAGCAAGCGGACGCGACUUCCCGCUUUGGGUGAGGACCCGUCUCCGAGCUCUCCCCUUUGUUUCACUCAAAUCUGCAACUCCACUCAUGUUUCUCAUCCUGAUCGAUACAGAAGGAUCUCCCCAUCCGCCUUCAUGGUGCUGCUGCUGCUGGUGUGGCCGUGGCUGCGUUUGCUGGUGUUGGAGGGGCCACUGCCGCCGCCGCCGCCUACCUGACAGAAACAAGGCAUGUGCGCCGCCGCCGGACCCGCCUCACCGGCCCAGUACUAGGCGCCGGACCCAUCCUCUCCCCUGCUGCUGCCUCCCGCCGCCUCCCCCCUUCCUCCUCUGGAUAUCGACGCCGCCGGCCAUCCCUCGGCCUCUUCUGGACACAAACGCCGGGCGUCCAUCCCUCUCCUUCAAGCGAACCAGCCGUCGGUGCUCUCCUUUCCUACAACCCACGGUGAGCAUCCCUCUGUUCCUCUUUUUU
rnacentral:lncRNA from 1 species